rnacentral:rRNA from 1 species
GAGUUUGAUCCUGGCUCAGAUUGAACGCUGGCGGUAUGCUUAACACAUGCAAGUCGAACGGUAGCAGGCCUUCGGGCGCUGACGAGUGGCGGACGGGUGAGUAACGCAUAGGAAUCUGCCCUGUAGUGGGGGACAACGUAGGGAAACUUACGCUAAUACCGCAUACGCCCUGAGGGGGAAAGCCGGGGACCUUUUAGGCCUGGCGCUAGAGGAUGAGCCUAUGUCGGAUUAGCUAGUUGGUGGGGUAAAGGCCCACCAAGGCGACGAUCCGUAGCUGGUCUGAGAGGAUGAUCAGCCACACUGGGACUGAGACACGGCCCAGACUCCUACGGGAGGCAGCAGUGGGGAAUAUUGGACAAUGGGCGGAAGCCUGAUCCAGCAAUACCGCGUGUGUGAAGAAGGCCUGAGGGUUGUAAAGCACUUUCAAUGGGGAGGAAAAAGGGUUGGCCAAUACCCGGCCUAUUGACAUUACCCAUAGAGGAAGCACCGGCUAACUCCGUGCCAGCAGCCGCGGUAAUACGGAGGGUGCGAGCGUUAAUCGGAAUUACUGGGCGUAAAGCGUGCGUAGGCGGUUAUUUAAGUCAGAUGUGAAAGCCCCGGGCUUAACCUGGGAACGGCAUUUGAAACUGGGUAGCUAGAGUUAGGUAGAGGGGAGUGGAAAUUUCAGGUGUAGCGGUGAAAUGCGUAGAUAUCUGAAGGAACACCAGUGGCGAAGGCGGCUCCCUGGACCCAAACUGACGCUGAGGUACGAAAGCGUGGGUAGCAAACAGGAUUAGAUACCCUGGUAGUCACGCCGUAAACGAUGCCGACUAGCCGUUGGGUCCCCUUUUGGGGAUUUAGUGGCGCAGCUAACGCGGUAAGUCGGCCGCCUGGGGAGUACGGCCGCAAGGUUAAAACUCAAAUGAAUUGACGGGGGCCCGCACAAGCGGUGGAGCAUGUGGUUUAAUUCGAUGCAACGCGAAGAACCUUACCUGCCCUUGACAUCCUGCGAACUUUCUAGAGAUAGAUUGGUGCCUUCGGGAACGCGGAGACAGGUGCUGCAUGGCUGUCGUCAGCUCGUGUUGUGAAAUGUUGGGUUAAGUCCCGUAACGAGCGCAACCCUCAUCCCUAGUUGCCAGCGGGUCAAGCCGGGAACUCUAAGGAGACUGCCGGUGAUAAACCGGAGGAAGGUGGGGACGACGUCAAGUCAUCAUGGCCCUUAUGGGCAGGGCUACACACGUGCUACAAUGGCCGGUACAGAGGGCGGCGAACCAGCAAUGGCGAGCGAAUCCCAGAAAGCCGGUCUUAGUCCGGAUCGGGGUCUGCAACUCGACCCCGUGAAGUCGGAAUCGCUAGUAGUCGCGAAUCAGAAUGUCGCGGUGAAUACGUUCCCGGGCCUUGUACACACCGCCCGUCACACCAUGGGAGUGGGUUGCUCCAGAAGUAGUUAGCCUAACCUUUUAGGGGGGCGAUUACCACGGAGUGAUUCAUGACUGGGGUGAAGUCGUAACAAGGUAGCCCUAGGGGAACCUGGGGCUGGAUCACCUCCUUUCUA